rnacentral:rRNA from 1 species
AGGACGAACGCUGGCGGCGUGCUUAACACAUGCAAGUCGAGCGGAAAGGCCCUUCGGGGUACUCGAGCGGCGAACGGGUGAGUAACACGUGAGUAAUCUGCCCCUAGCUCUGGGGAUAGCUCCGGGAAACCGGGAUUAAUACCGGAUACGACUGCUACGGACAUCUGUGGUGGUGGAAAGAACUUCGGCUAGGGAUGAGCUCGCGGCCUAUCAGCUUGUUGGUGGGUAACGGCCUACCAAGGCGACGACGGGUA